AAACGUUUUGCCGUCAUUGUUUCUAACCCCUUUGAAUAAAAUCGUCAAGGAGUGGAUUAGUUGGCACGGUUCCACCAUCGACUGGCUUCCCGGUACUCCGCACGAUUGUUGCAAAGAACAUUUUAUUCCCUGAACCCAUUCUACGAAGAAAUAAUACACACCCCUAUUCUAACAUUAUUCUGUAAAUUACAAGCAGCUAAUUUAAUAUCUUAACAUCACAAAAUUUAUUACAAUAAUUCUAAAAAAGCAAUGUUUGAUUUAAUGAAGAUUUGAACUGAUCAUCUUGGCGAUUGCAAUCAAAUGUUUUCUUCGCUACGCCAAGUUAAUUGUUUCUUAUUUGAUUUUAUAUUUUUAUUCUUAUUGAUUUUUUAUUGUAUAUUUUUAAUCAUUUUAAUUAAACAAAAGAGUGGUCGUCGUUAAAACACGGUAGAAUUCACUGCUAUGAAACAUUCGCGAAGAUUAAUCGAUUCUUCGAAUGUGCAUCCGCGACCGUAAGUUACAGUCGAAAAGCAAUAUCGGUUAAUCCGCAAUCGAAUUCGCAGGAAAUUACAUUCGACGAAGGUAUAUUUGCGAGAGGCCUUCAAAAUGCAACAGAUCAACCGAAACGAUCGUUUGCAACUAACCAUUUUAUCAAGGUUCAAACAAUUUUCUCGGAAUAUUAUUCCUAACUUUUCUUUCCCCCUUUUUUAACAGAAUAUUUCACGCGAUUUUUCGAUUCAUUGAAUCCCGUCGAAAUAUUUUUCAGAUAGAUACACCAUCUCUAGGUGUAUACUCUUUACGAAAAGAAAAAGCGCGAAAAAGAAACAUGGCGGCGAUUGAACGUUUUAUACUUCGAUGGUUAUUUUUCUUUCUAUCGUUGUAAAAAAAGGUACGCACUUUCUCGCGCGUUUCUUCCUUUGUUAUUUGAACACGAUGCGGUUGCAACAUACAAUCCGUCCAGUUAUUUCGAACUCACGUACACAAACGAAACGUAUAAUAGAACGAGGCGCACGUACACAGCCUGCUACAAAACAGACGCGCACGAGAAAAAGAGGAAGCUUUAUUUCUUUUUACCGGCCAAUUCGAUUACUCAAGGCACGCUUCUCACAUGUACAUACAUAUAGUACAUAUAAUCUCUUUUAUGAUCUUCGAAAAAGUCCUUAUACUCUCUACGUUGCGUUUCGUCAUAUCAUGUAGCACUUUUCAACGUGAAUUCCAUGUAAAUAGUUAGCGAUUCAGUCAUGCUCGUCUAAGCAGUCAGUCGAUAAUAUAAAUUCUCCUCUUGAAAAAUAACCAACCGGUAGCUCUCGUCUGUUCUUAGUGGAAAAGAGUAAAAAUAACCCUAUACGUGUCUUUCUUCUUAGGUCUCGUGUCUUGGAUGGAACGUGUCGUAGACCCUGUCUUGUUUUUGUAAGCGCAGUUACCGAGCCUUAUCCAUGCAAACGCACUGGCGAUACACACUUAACCGCACGCACACUGAAUUCGUUAGACCCGCACGUGCGCGUAUUUAACGCACCGCGGACGAGCAUCUUUUUCAGGCAACUAGUAAACACAUACGCGUGUAUAUACAGACUUUUUUCCCCCGAGGAAGUUGCUUCUCAUUUUUAGACGCCUUCGUUUAAAGCCAUCCAUGCUUUUCGGCGUUUAGACAUUUACCAGUGCAUAGUCGAUAAAGUCGGUAAUGAACUUAAAAUUUAAUAUGGCGACAAGUUACGAAUAUUUAAACAUUUUGGUAGCGUUAUAAUAAGACACAAUUAUGGUUCUGUCGCUAAAAAUUAAGAUAAGUCUAAAAAUGUAUACAGAAACUACAAGAUAUUUGGUGUAUAUAUUUAAACAAUCAAAAUUACUCAUUAUAUUAAUAAACUUUAAUAUUCAGUGGAAUCAUCUUUAAUAACUGUUACAUAUAUGUUUAAAAUGGCUCUUCGUAUUGUAUAGUGAUUUUUAACUACAUACGUGAUGUAACAAAUGUUUCGUAACUUCUAUAUACAUUUUCAAACUGGUCCCAAAUUUGACCAACAUAAUAGUGACAGUCAUGUCGUGUCACAUUAUAAUGUUACUGAAAUUUAAAACUGUUUUAUGUAACAUACGAGUUUUCGCGAAGAUCAUCGCGAAUUGUGAAAUCAGUUCGAUCAAUUGUAUCAUCGAAAUGUCACUAGACAGCGCGAUCCGCUAAUAAAUACGUUGUUGGCAAGCAAACGCGUUUCCCAUAACUCGUUGCACGCGAUAUACAUAAUACGCGAUGAACCAGUCGUUUCGUGUAUACAUAUAUGCUUGCAAAUAUGAGUUAAAAUUACAAUUUAUCUUCAAACACGUCGGAAACGAUACACGAUGAAAAAGGAUCCUUCUCAUAAAGUUCCUUUUACGAACUGAAGGGUGAUCGUAUACUACAUAUACUAUACAUAUGCUAUACUGGAUACAGCCCUGAUGGGUUGGUUUCCACGGCAGUGAGGACGGUUACAGCGAUUUAAAACGAGUCUAUGAAAGCCGCGCAACAUCCAGCGAGCAUAGCACAGAGAGAGAGAGAGAGAGAGAGAGAGAGAAAGGGAGGGGGGAGAGGGAGGAUAACAUUCCAGCGCGCAAAGAGAGGGAUCCGUAGUAAAUUUAGCGCACUGAUCUCAUUCUAUGGUGAAUCCGUGGACGAAAAUAGCGGAGCGGUGAAUGUGUUAUUAAGGUGCGUUUAGGUCGGACCGACAUGUGCGCGUAAUCGGUGGCCGACAGUCACGCACCGCGCAGCUUGAAUUCGAUUCAAUAAGACGUUGAACGCGUGCCGCCUCACUUAUCGGUCUUGUGUAUAAAUUGAACCGCAUCUUCGUUCAACAAUACACGUAUCAUAUAAAUAUGGAGACUUAUUAUGUAUAGGUUAAUUUUAAUUGGGAAACAGAAAAGAUAAAAGUAUAUGUUUCAGAAGAAAGUACGAAUUUCAUAUUGAAUAGUCCUCGAUAUACAAAGUGUUAUAAAAUAUGGAGCCAGACUUUGUGAACCGACAGUACUCACUGAGAGAAGUAAAAAGAAAGAUGUCUAAUCAAUGUACAGUUUUGUUAUGUCAAGUUUUGUUUAGACUUGUUGUAGUAAAUUUAUCAGCAAUGAAUCGAUUACAGUCUUUAAGUGACGCUAUAAAAAGAAAUCGAGAGGAUUCAAGGCAGGUAUUUAUUUAUUUACCUUUAUCUAUUUUGUAUCGACAGUUUGAUCUAAAUAUUGUCUUAAGUGAAAAAUAUGGGAAAUAUAAAACUUGAUAUAAUAUUGGAAGAAUCAACAUAAUUACCAUUAAUUAAUCAUUUUUCACUGUUCUCUCGGUAAGUAUACCAUCAAUUCGUUUUUUAAUAGCGUCCUGUACAAAGUAUUCAUAGCAAGAAUGUUUCGUUUUCAAGUGUAUACUGGUCAGAUAUCGCCGUAGGUUGUGGCUUUCGCAGCUUGGUGCGUGACAAAGCUUAUUAAAGGGUGUAAUGGCAACUUAAUCUUUCCGUGAACUUUAGGUAUAAUUAACGUUUACUUCUCGAUUUCUAUCCGCUUGUAACGUGGAUUUUUAUGAACUUGAAGUCAUUAUCGUUCUCUCUAUCGUAUAAUGACUAGAAGAAGUAUUGCUACAUAUCAGAUUCUACAUUUCGCUUUUAUAAUAUUUUUUCGUAGUCGUAUGAAAGUAUAUAUUAUUAAAUGAUAUAAAGUUUAAUAUAUUUGAAUGUAAUUAAUUAGUAUGCGAAUGAUAUAAGAAAUAUACUAUGGCGUGUCAAUGCUUUUUGUAGCCGCUAUAUGUUAUACUACUCGGAAAAAAAGGAGAUUAUUUAUAUUGUGGUAACGGUGUUUUAACGAAUUAGCGAAAACGUAUGUGAGAUUUUUCCUCUUAUUCGAAUCGCUUGUAAUCGCAUUGGCCUGUAAAAAGGGGUUAAUAGCCGGUACCUAAACGCACCUUUACGAUGGAAAUGUAUAAUAGAGGAACCGUGCGUACGCGCAUCCGCGUUCGUUCACUUCUGGAAUGAGUUUCGAGCCGAGACGAGUAGCGGACUAGCGCCCAGGUGGCGCUGCGGGCGCGACGCCAAUCGAAAUUUCGGGAGGGCGAUGACUGGGCUUCGCCCCCAGAAACUGUGAUCUCGUUUUUCUGUCACUGACCUUCCGCGAGCCGCUGGUCCACACACAAUCAUUGUCGCGCGUAAUUUCUGUCAGUUAACCAAUCAUAUAAUACACUACCUGAACUUCGUUAUCAAUUUGUCACCCUUUUUUAUAAUGUAUGAUAGUUUUUGACAAGAAUAAAAAGAUGCUAGUUACUAAGA